rnacentral:rRNA from 1 species
GACGAACGCUGGCGGCGUGCUUAACACAUGCAAGUCGAACGGAAAGGCCCUGCUUGCAGGGUACUCGAGUGGCGAACGGGUGAGUAACACGUGGGUGUUCUGUCCUGUACUUCGGGAUAUGCCUGGGAAACUGGGUCUAUUAUCGGAUAGGGGACAUUCUUCGUGUGAUGGUUGGAAAGUUUUUUCGGUGUAGGAUGAGUUCGCGGCCUAUCAGCUUGUUGGUGGGGUAAUGGGCUACCAAGGCGGCGACGGGUAGCCGGCCUGAGAGGGUGGACGGCCACAUUGGGACUGGGAUACGGCCCAGACUCCUACGGGAGGCAGAGGUGGGGAAUAUUGCACAAUGGGCGCAAGCCUGAUGCAGCGACGCCGCGUGGGGGAUGACGGCCUUCGGGUUGGAAACUCCUUUCGCUAGGGACGAAGCUUUUUGUGACGGUACCUAGAUAAGAAGCACCGGCUAACUACGUG